AGAAAUAGUAAACAUGACAGCAUUAUAACUGUAAAUAUAUGAAACAAGAACAACAAGUUCUGUCUAUAAACCGUAGAAAAAUCACAGGUGUACUUUUGAAAUACAUAGACAUAAUGCAAACCAAUGGCCAACCUAGAUUUGAUCAACAUCCAAAUGUGGUAAAAGCUAAAAGGAAAUACUUGAACUAUUGUCUCAAUAUAUGCAGUAAAAGGUUUCAAGUUUUUUAUAUACAUUGAAAUUCAACAGAAUCAAUACAGAGGGAUACUUUGAAUAUCACAGAGUUGCCUUUAAUUCUUUAAUAAAUAAACACAUCUUUCUUUUCAUUAUCUUUUCUUCUUUCUGGGGGCAACCGAACAUGCAAAUCUUCAAAUUUUGAAUUACUUUUUUCAUUCUAGUCUUCAUGAUGAUCCAUAUCUGACUCAUCCUGCAAAAAGUUAGGAGUCAACUUGUUUCCUUUUGGCCAUUAUAUAUACCCUUGUAAACUACAAGGAUUCAUCAACCAAAGUUGUUAAGAGCUCUUCAAUAUCAUUCACAAGCUACUAAUUGCUCAAGAAGAAUAUUGAACUCCCAAAAGAUAACAGCAAAAAUGAAGGCCUCAUUAGCUAAUGGAAUUUCUGUUACCUCAACAUACCAUGCUGGGAAGUCAUCAAAGAGAUAUUAUUUGCCUGAUGCUCGUGGAAAGUACAUCAAAUCCAUCACAAAACCAAAGCAGAGUAGAACACAUCACAAAUCUGGAUUCUUACAAAGAGUCAGAGAUCAUGGUACAUAAUCCUUAAAAGCUUAUGUUCAAUUUUUAUUUUUGGUUAAUUGCACAACAUAGAACAAGCACCGUUUCAUGUUUGGCACAGAAUUUUAAGACACAGCAAACAUUUCUGUCAUGUUUUUUGUGAUACAUAAUUUGACAUGAAGGGAAAACAAAACAUGGCUCUUACUGAUGGCUUAAACUUGUUGUAACAGCAGUGAGGCUUGGACCAAAGAUAACAGAUACAGUGAAAGGGAAAUUGAGUAUGGGAGCCAGAAUUCUUCAGGUUGGUGGAGUAGAGAAAGUCUUCAUGCAACUGUUUAGUGUUGG
rnacentral:lncRNA from 1 species